rnacentral:rRNA from 1 species
GGGGUACACGAGUGGCGCACGGGUGAGUAACGCGUAUGCAACCUGCCCUGUACAGGGGGAUAGCCCGGAGAAAUCCGGAUUAAUACCCCAUAGUUUUUAUGAGUCGCAUGGCUUAUAAAAUAAAGUUUCGGCGGUACAGGAUGGGCAUGCGUGGCAUUAGCUAGUUGGUAAGGUAACGGCUUACCAAGGCGACGAUGCCUAGGGGUUCUGAGAGGAUGAUCCCCCACACUGGGACUGAGACACGGCCCAGACUCCUACGGGAGGCAGCAGUGAGGAAUAUUGGUCAAUGGGCGAGAGCCUGAACCAGCCAUCCCGCGUGCAGGAUGACGGCCCUACGGGUUGUAAACUGCUUUUAUGUACCAAGAAUAGGCGCUACGUGUAGUGUUAUGACGGUAGUACAUGAAUAAGCAUCGGCUAACUCCGUGCCAGCAGCCGCGGUAAUACGGAGGAUGCAAGCGUUAUCCGGAUUCAUUGGGUUUAAAGGGUGCGUAGGCGGUCUGAUAAGUCAGUGGUGAAAUGCUGCAGCUCAACUGUAGAACUGCCAUUGAAACUGUCAGACUUGAGUGCGCCUGAGGUAGGCGGAAUGAGUAGUGUAGCGGUGAAAUGCUUAGAUAUUACUCAGAACACCGAUUGCGAAGGCAGCUUACUAAAGCGUAACUGACGCUGAUGCACGAAAGCGUGGGGAGCGAACAGGAUUAGAUACCCUGGUAGUCCACGCCGUAAACGAUGAUAACUCGCUGUUGGCGAUACACAGUCAGCGGCUUAGCGAAAGCAUUAAGUUAUCCACCUGGGGAGUACGAUCGCAAGGUUGAAACUCAAAGGAAUUGACGGGGGCCCGCACAAGCGGAGGAACAUGUGGUUUAAUUCGAUGAUACGCGAGGAACCUUACCUGGGCUUAAA